rnacentral:rRNA from 14 species
AGGUGCUGCAUGGCUGUCGUCAGUUCGUGGCGUGAGCUGUUGGGUUAAGUCCCAGAACGAACGCAACCCUCAGGGUUUUUGCUUUGAAUCAAAACCCCAACUGCCAGUGAGAUACGGGAGGAAGGAGAGGAUGACGUCAAGUCCGCAUGGCCCUUAUGAAUUGGGCUACACACGUGCUACAAUGGUGAUGCCAAAAAGAUGCAAUUUGGUCACAAGGAGCUAAUCUCUAACCAUCACCUUAGUUCAGAUUGUUCUCUGCAACUCGAGAACAUGAAGUCGGAAUCGCUAGUAAU